CGGUGGGGUGCCUACACAUGCAGUCGAGCGGAGAUGAAGAAGUUUACUUUGGAUUCUUAGCGGCGGACGGGUGAGUAACGCGUGGGCAACCUACCCUGUACAGGGGGAUAACAAUGGGAAACCAUUGCUAAUACCCCAUGACGCCUUUUGGGGGCAUCCCCAAAAGGUCAAAGAACUUCGGUACAGGAUGGGCCCGCGUCUGAUUAGCUAGUUGGUGAGGUAAUGGCUCACCAAGGCGACGAUCAGUAGCCGGCCUGAGAGGGUGAACGGCCACACUGGAACUGAGACACGGUCCAGACUCCUACGGGAGGCAGCAGUGGGGAAUAUUGCACAAUGGGGGAAACCCUGAUGCAGCAACGCCGCGUGAGCGAUGAAGGCCUUCGGGUCGUAAAGCUCUGUCCUAAGGGAAGAUAAUGACGGUACCUUAGGAGGAAGCCCCGGCUAACUACGUGCCAGCAGCCGCGGUAAUACGUAGGGGGCAAGCGUUAUCCGGAAUCAUUGGGCGUAAAGGGUGCGUAGGCUGCCCUAUAGGUCAGAGGUCAAAGGCUACGGCUCAACCGUAGUAAGCCUUUGAAACUGUAGGGCUUGAGUGCAGGAGAGGAGAGUGGAAUUCCUAGUGUAGCGGUGAAAUGCGUAGAUAUUAGGAGGAACACCAGUGGCGAAGGCGACUCUCUGGACUGCAACUGACGCUGAGGCACGAAAGCGUGGGUAGCGAACAGGAUUAGAUACCCUGGUAGUCCACGCCGUAAACGAUGAGUGCUAGGUGUUGGGGGUCGAACCUAGGUGCCGAAGUUAACGCAUUAAGCACUCCGCCUGGGGAGUACGUACGCAAGUAUGAAACUCAAAGGAAUUGACGGGGACCCGCACAAGCAGCGGAGCAUGUGGUUUAAUUCGAAGCAACGCGAAGAACCUUACCUGGACUUGACAUCCCUCUGACCGAUUCUUAACCGAAUCCCUUCCCUUCGGGGACAGAGGAGACAGGUGGUGCAUGGGUUGUCGUCAGCUCGUGUCGUGAGAUGUUGGGGUUAAGUCCCGCAACGAGCGCAACCCCUUGUCUUUAGUGGCCAUCAUUAAGGUUGGGCA
rnacentral:rRNA from 1 species